rfam:Clostridium aceticum strain DSM 1496, complete genome.
GCGCUCAUAGCUCAGCUGGAUAGAGUGUCUGACUACGAAUCAGAAGGUCGGGAGUUCGAAUCUCUCUGGGCGCA